rnacentral:rRNA from 1 species
GGGGGGAUAUUGCACAAUGGGGGAAACCCUGAUGCAGCGACGCCGCGUGAAGGAAGAAGGCCUUCGGGUUGUAAACUUCUGUCGUACGGGACGAUAAUGACGGUACCGUACAAGAAAGCCACGGCUAACUACGUGCCAGCAGCCGCGGUAAAACGUAGGUGGCAAGCGUUGUCCGGAAUUACUGGGUGUAAAGGGAGCGCAGGCGGACUAGCAAGUUGGAAGUGAAAUCUAUGGGCUCAACCCAUAAAAUUGCUUUCAAAAAUCAUGCCGGUCUUGAGUAGUGCAGAGGUAGGCGGAAUUCCCGGUGUAGCGGUGGAAUGCGUAGAUAUCGGGAGGAACACCAGUGGCGAAGGCGGCCUACUGGGCACCAAACUGACGCUGAGGCUCGAAAAGUAUGGGUAGCAAACAGGAUUAGAUACCC